GCCUUAUGUAUCAAUGCUUGCGGCGCAAGAAAACCUUGCGUACGCCAAAAUCGGCGCACACGUCCAGAUUUAUCAUCGCGAAACGAGCGUCGGUUCCAGCGCUAAUCAACGCAAAGUCAGGAGGUGGUGUAGAAAUUGGCGUUGAGCCGAUACUUGCGUUGACUGUGAUUCGCACUUUGGCGAUGCUGUGUGGUGGUGUUUGGUGACUCACUAUGUGACAAGCAUGCACCACAUCCCCGUGGCCGAGCAGCACGUCGCCCCACAUGACGAACCAGCAGCAGACGGAGGGAUGCGAGCUGAUCCCUGCCGGGCCGCCGUCCUCGCGCGGGAGAAUCUCAUCGCCACAGUGUGAAUGGGUAAGAAGUGAAUACACAGUUCAAUGAGCCAAAUUAAUUUAUUUUCUCCACCAGACGCUCGAGGACAUUUACGAGCCGGUCCAGCCGCUCGUUGAUCCCCGCGAUCCCCCUGAUGAUUUCUUCCUGCGAUUGCAGGACCCCCUCCGCGAGGACCCUUCCACUGCGUCCGGGUGGUCCAGCGGAAGCGCUGCGGCUGGUGGACGCUCCACCGCUUGUCGGCGCGCUGGUGCUGAUGCUGGUGCUGGUGCUGG